UCAUAGCCUUUAUGAGACGGAACAUUGCAUUGUCGGAAAGAACGUGAUGUUCGCCAUCUUGUUUGAGCCUUCCUCGAGCAUCGAAUACAAAUACACCAUUUAUUUCUUCAUGCAGCACCAUUGAAAUCAAAAGCCACUUGGAACGACAUGCAAACUGCACCGCCAACAAUGGCUUCAGGAUCAAGCAGGUCAGAGCCUCGUUUUGCAGGGCCUGCUUGGUAAGCCAGAAAACAGCAUUGACCAUCAGUGACAGAAGCGAACUGGCUUUGCCGGAAGUAGCGUGUGCGCCGGGACUAUCAGCGGCAAUGAGGGCUGUCACGAAUAUGGUCAAGUUAAUUGUGUAGAUGCCAGCGGCGGGUGCAACGUUAGCCUCGGAUUCGUAUGGAACGGAACUCCGUGCGGCAGCGAACGGAUUUGCUUAAAAGGAAGAUGCGCGCUUUACUUCGACAUCUGCAAAAUUACGACCACUACGAUCACAACAACAACCACGAGACCCACAAGAACAACCACUUAGCCCACAACAACAACCACUUGGCCCACAUCCACAACAAAGCCCACAAUAACAACAACUACGCAAACAACAACCACCAAGCUCAUAACUUCCCAGCACACAGCCACUGAGUCCAACAGCACUAGGGAAACAACGCCAACCACAGAGGAAAGACCAGAUGAAUACAAUGAUGAUGAUGAUGAAGAUUAUUUUAACAGUAGCACAAGGCCCACAACAACAACCACUACAACAACAACUACUACAAGGCCCACAACAACAACCACUACAACAACAAUUACUACUACUAGGCCCACAACACCAACCACUAUACCCACAACAACAACCACUAGGUCCACAACAACGACCACUGAGGAAGGACCAGAUGAAUAUAAUGAUGAUGAUGAAAAUUAUUUAAACAGUAGCACAAGGUCCAUAACAACAACCAUCCAUUAAGGCCACGACGACAAGCAUUAGGCCCACAACAACAACCAUUAUUCCCACAACCACUAUGCCAACAACCACUACGCCCACAUCCGCUUGGCCCACAACCGCUAAGCUCACAACACCCCAGCCCACAACCACUAUGCCUACAACCACUAGGCCCGCAGCCACUAUGCCCUCAACCACUAGGCCCAAAACCACUAGGCCCACAAUCACUAGGCUUACAACCGCUAAGCUCACAACUCCCAAGCCCACAACCACUAGGCCCAAAACCACUAGGCCCACAAUCACUACGCCCACAACCACUACGCCCACAACCACUACGCCCACAACCGCUAGGCCCACAACCGCUAUGCCCACAUCCGCUAGGCCCACAACCACUAGACCCACAACCACUAGGCCCACAACCACUAGGCCCACAACCAAUAUGCCUACAACCGCUAGGCCAACAACCAUUAGGCCAACAACCACUAAGCUCACAACUACCUAGUUCAUAACCACUAGGCCCACAACCACUAGGCUCACAACCACUAUGCCCACAACCAAUAGGCCAACAACCACUAGGACAACAACCACUAACUUCACAACUCCCGAGCCCACAACCACCAGGCCCACAACCACUAGGCCCACAACCACUAUGCCCACAACCGCUAGGCCCACAACCGCUAGGCCCACAACCGCUUAGCUCACAACUCCCCGGCCCACAACCACUAGACCCACAACCACUAGGCCGUAAACCACUAGGCCCACAACCACUUAGCUCACAACUCCCAAUCCCACCGCAACUAAGUCCACAAGCACUAGGCCUACAACAACAACCACUGAGGAAGGACCAGAUGAAUAUAAUGAUGAUGAAUAAGAUUAUUUAAACAAUAGCACAAGGGCCACAACAACAACCACUGAGGAAGGACCAGAUGAAUAUAAUGAUGAUGAAUAAGAUUAUUUAAACAAUAGCACUAGGGCCACAACAACAACCACUGAGGAAGGACCAGAUGAAUAUAAUGAUAAUGAUGAAGAUUAUUUAAACAGUUACUCCAUUUAGAAAUUUUGUUAUUUUUUGAAAGAAAUGAAGUUUUCUAUACCAUCUUUGUGACCUUAAGAUUACAAACGAUUUAUAUUAAGUUUCAUUAUAUCUAUGA